UGGUUUCCCGUUAGAGGACACCAAAUUAAUACAAGUACCCGCCCUAGUGCUAACUUUAUAGCAGUCUGUUCGGUUCUUAUUCUUACAAACUACAGGUGUGCAGUCAAAAAUUCCACGCCUGUCGAGUUCUAAUUUUCCCACCAUACAUAGAAUUUUCAGCCUGUGGAUAUACACAUACACACACAUACACACCCAAAGAAUUAAAAAAAAGAGGCUCGAUGGAGGUUUUGUUUGAUGGUUUUGCAGUGGGUAUUGGGUGCGUUCUGGAUGGUUCACCUACAUGCCUCCGUCAGGGAUCGGUUCUAGGUCGUCCUCAGUGAGGUUGACCACCUUCAAGUCUUCUCCUCCUACAUCGCCAGUGGGGGGGACAGCGGAUGCCACGGCAGAGCCAGCGGCAAGCAAUGCCGUAAAGAAGUAAAGAGCUGAGCGCAUUUUUGUUGUGAUAUUGGAUUUGUGAGGGCCUGGACGUUGAGUAGCUCAGGAGUGAGGAAGUUUUGGGAUAAGUUGCGAAGUUUGCGAAGUGUUCGCUGUCCAAAAAACCCUUUGGGGAUGGAAAUAAAUUUUUAUUUAUACCUUCUAUUGCGUCUGAAGCUCACAGAAUGCUAUCCAAGCUGGUGUCACGAAGUCUCAUGGAGAGAUGCAGUAUGCACCUGCAUCUGAAAACAUGGAGGA
rnacentral:sRNA from 2 species